UGAAUGGAAAUACGGAAAAUUACUAUCUUGAUCAAGUUUUUUAUAAAUUACUUAGUGAGGGAAAAGUCUCAUAUAAAGAAAAUAGACGAGAAGACCCUAGAAAUUUUUAUAUAGUGUUUAAGUUAUCUAUUUUGUUGGGGCGACAUAGUAACAAAUAACUUACUAUAUAAUAUAUGCUAUUUAUUAGUCGAGAAAAUAAAUUACUCUAGGGAUAACAGCAUAAUUCAGUUUCUGAGUUUGUGACCUCGAUGUUGGACUAGGAAAUAAUUUACUUAGAAGGUAAAAUUAUUAGCUCUGUUCGAGCUUUAACUCCUACAUGAUCUGAGUUCAAACCGGAGCUCCA
rnacentral:rRNA from 1 species